rnacentral:rRNA from 1 species
UACAGAGGUCUCAAGCGUUGUUCGGAUUCAUUGGGCGUAAAGGGUGCGUAGGCGGCGCGGUAAGUCGGGUGUGAAAUCUUGGAGCUUAACUCCGAAACUGCAUUCGAUACUGCCGUGCUUGAGGACUGGAGAGGAGACUGGAAUUUACGGUGUAGCGGUGAAAUGCGUAGAUAUCGUAAGGAAGACCAGUGGCGAAGGCGGGUCUCUGGGCCGACACUGACACUGAGAGACGAAAGCUAGGGGGAGCGAAUGGG